rnacentral:rRNA from 1 species
UACGAAGGGGGCUAGCGUUGCUCGGAAUCACUGGGCGUAAAGGGUGCGUAGGCGGCUUUCUAAGUCAGGGGUGAAAUCCUGGAGCUCAACUCCAGAACUGCCUUUGAUACUGGAAAGCUGAGUUCGGGAGAGGUGAGUGGAACUGCGAGUGUAGAGGUGAAAUUCGUAGAUAUUCGCAAGAACACCAGUGGCGAAGGCGGCUCACUGGCCCGAUACUGACGCUGAGGUGCGAAAGCG